rnacentral:rRNA from 1 species
AACAAACGCUGGCGGCGUGCCUAAUACAUGCAAGUCGAACGGGGAAAGCCUUCGGGUGAGUACUAGUGGCGCACGGGUGAGUAACACGUGGGUAAUCUUCCUCGAAGCGUGGGAUAACUAGUCGAAAGAUUAGCUAAUACCACAUAAGACCACAGGAUCUGCGGAUCCAGAGGUCAAAGUUUUUCGCUUUGAGAUGAGCCCGCGCAAGAUUAGCUAGUUGGUGAGGUAAUGGCUCACCAAGGCGAUGAUCAGUAGCCGGGCUGAGAGGCUGUCCGGCCACACGGGCACUGAGACACUGGCCCGACUCCUACGGGAGGCUGCGGUCGCGAAUUUUUCUCAAUGGGCGCAAGCCUGAAGAAGCCAUGCCGCGUGCGGGACGAAGGCCCUCUGGGUUGUAAACCGCUGUCAGGGAA